CAAAGAGGUGGUUGCUUCCGGGUCAUGCUGCAGCUUUUCCCAAAUAAACAUAACGUUGUAGCGAAAUAAACACGCACUAUUUCAGUCUCCUGAGUAGGGGUACACAAAGACCUUCUCAGGGAUGGCAUAGGGACAGGACAGUGAGGUUAAAUAAAUAAAUAAAAAUAUUGAUUAAAAUUGUGUUUGAUUAAUUUUAAAACGUGUAUACAAGUUAAGCAUAUCGGUCUGUGCAAACAGGAGAAAGUGUUGAAAUCAUUGGGUGCGCAUUACGUGUGGUGUUUUAUAUUAAUAUAGCAAGCUCAGAUCAGGCUAUUUCUUUCCCUAGCUUCGAUUGCAGCACGCUUUAUAUUACAUACCCAGGCCAUACAGCAACACAGUGUAUAUUUAAAAAACACGUUGCAAUAUAUGAAUCACUAUAUUAUUAUUAUUAUUAUUAUUAUUAUUAUUAUUAUUAUUAUUAUUAUUAUUAUUAUAUGAUAGCAACAGAACCUGUUUUUCUAUCACAACGACAGCUCUGUGACACCAACUUCAGGCAGUGGUGGCUGUGGACAGCAAUUGGAUCACGUAAUUUGUCACGUCUCUUUAAUAUAAAAAAAAAAAAACCGAGAAACAGAAUCAGGCUCAAGAUAUGAAGUUAAAACAAGUUACAUUGUUUUUUUUAAUUGACAGCUUUUUUGAGUUUAAUGAGGAAACGGAAUCGGCUAUAAAAUAAGUUUAAAAAUAACCCCCAAAACUUCAAGCGCUACUUAUUAUAGACACUAUACAGCUAGAGAAAUAAAACUGUUUCAGUUACCUUUUCUUUUUUUUUGAAAAGUGUGUAUUUGGAAAGUCAAUGCUCAAGGUGUUAUAUAUGUUCUGCUUUAGUGGACUUUAAAACACUGUGCUUUGCUGCAUGUAGAGAAUACUAAACUUCCAAAGCUUGUCUGAUCAUAAUCACUGUAAUACUUCGGUAUAUGUGUCCUGUCCGACAGGUGGAGAAGGCAGGGCAGGUUUACCUGCUGAUGAAAAAGGAGUAUCGGAUCCCCGGAACGUCAGGUUAGCCUGGUUCCUUAGCAACCUCGACCAAGUCAUUCGCCCCACACUCAAGGCUGAUCUGCUCUCUAAAUUCAGGGAAGGAUGACGAUGAGGUGCCCCAGUAUCUCCAGCUACACCAGAUGGUUGUGAGAAAGAUUGGGGAGAUCUGCCGUGUUGUGAACCAGCGCUUGCUGCUUCAAGAUCUCCAUGACAGGCACGUCUGUAACUCUUUGCUGGUGGCAGAGAGUGAGGAAGACACCUACAGGAAGCAAACAGCCACCGCUGACGAUUAUUCAGCGGACGAGAGUUACCAGCAUAGAGAUUACCUGGCAGCCACUAUGCAGUUCAUCCCAGGUCACUUUGCCUGCGAGGAUGUGUGGAGCACCAUCAUUUACAUUCAUCCACGACUCAAAAUGGGCCCCAACAUGGGCAUCAGUCGAGGUUGUCGGAAACGGCGUUCAGUGGGAAGUUUUCAGAGUUGGAUGGCAACCCCCCACCUUCGUCUCGCUCGCUGGCUCUGACACGCAGCCAGGAGCCCCUCUACUCAGAAGAUCUCUCGUGCUCCCGAUUCUCCCUGGAGAUGAUCUCCCCCAGGAGUGUGAAGGGGUCCAGGCCCGUGGGACAGGUGUACAAACACAUCCUGCUGAUGGUGCACGGAGUGGAGCAGGCUGGACCAGAGAUCACAGACGAGCUGUUGAAGGUUCUUCGAAAGCGUUUGGACGAGGCGACGCUUGACAUUAUCACUGUGAUCUUAGUCAGGAAUUGCAAACUAACUGACACCUGCGGACAUGGAGUUCAUCCAGCCUCCUGGCUCCCCAGCUACUGAAGUGGUCGAGUUCACCCUCCCGCAAUACUCCCUGCCUUGGCUACAGGCUGUGGCUCACUACCUCCGGCAAAACCUGCUGAUCUUCCUGCACAUCCCCAAGUACACUGAAAGCAACAUGGAGCACCACUUUAAGCACUAUUUUCUUCAUAGCAGCGGUUUGCCCGAUUCUGAUAUCUACCUUUAUAACAAGCCUGGAGGCCAUGGAACAGGGGGGAAAGGCUCUUGGACUUGGGUUCGUUUCGAUGUCUGGGAGCAGGGGAAUGUCAGCCCCCUGCAACUUACUGAUAAGUUGCAGAGUGCUCUGCGCCAUGCCCUUUGUGAUGUCAUCAUGGAGUUCAGGAUGCUACCCAAUCCCCUCUGCGUGGAAUCGUAUUGUCCAAUCAUAGCAACUGACCACAGCGAUAGCACCAAUGGUAGGGGAAGAGUGUCACUUCGAUAAACUUACAUUAUUUGCAUGAUUAAACUCCCGUAAAGGAUGACGUAAAACAGCAGAGCUUCUGGGACAUUCUGGUAAGUUUACAGGGAGUCAGGGGUAAUGUCUAUUGGGGUGCUGCUCUAAUUUCUAUCAAUGAUACCUGCAGUUGAGUUGUGACAAUGACAGGUUCCCUCACAGCCACUGCCUGUCAGUCCUUGCAUCACCGACUUGAAUCCUCAGCAGGAACUUGAAUUGAAUUUUCUGCAUUAGAGAGCAGUCUCCUUAAAGUUAUAAUAAUUAGUGCAAUAAUACCUUGCAGCAUUGCUCCUGGUUGUGCUGCUGCUGUUGGAGGUUCAAGGGUAAAAGAACCAUAAUAAAAAUGCCAGUGUCCUGCAGAGUAAGCCAGAACCCUCAGAGCUGGGGUCUCCUAAGACAACAGACGACAUUAUCUGGGAUCGGGCAGAAGACAGCCGAACAACCCGUCAACGACAGAAAACCGAGAAUGUGAAGCAGCCCUGGAGCCAGGAGAGAGCAGCUGCUGCGGAAAUGGAACAGGCGCAGAGGCAAGCAGCCUCACAGAGGUCCUCACUUCCUUCACAGGGUCUGGAAUAGGGGCAGGGAACACCAGAUACCACUCCCCACAGGGCAGGCUGACCGUGGGCAAGUAAAGAACAGGGGUGAAUUGAGAGCCUGACACAUUUACCCACAAUGCACUCACAACAUUCUUUUAAUAUCUAAUUCUGAACAACAAAAUCCAACCUUUGGAGGCCUCACAAUCAAACAUUCCAUAGUAGAUAAAUAAGCCAUAAGUAUUAAUGCUGAAGAUGAGGAUUAGAGCUUGCAUAUGAAGUACUGUAUAGGCUUCUGUUAACCCUUUCAGGACCAGGCAUUUUUCAGUGGGAUGCUCCCCCAGUGCUUUUUUUAUUGUGUUUACACGAUCGCGGCCCUAGAAGCCCACUUUAGUAUGAUCGUGUUAACACGAUCCCAGUCCUUAAAGGGUUAAGCAAAAAAAUGCUAAAAAGUAGACAUUUUAGUACAUUUAGAGUUAUUUUAAAAAUGUUAUUUUUGUAAGCAUCUUUGGUGAUGAGCAACUAUUAGCUUUCACAUUUUAUUGUCCCAUUUGUUUAGUUUGCUUGACUAUUAGUUUUGUACAGAGGUAUUGUGGUUUAGUGCUAAGAGCUGGUUCUUUUUGAUCCCACAGGAAGUGUAUCACCCAACUAGAAGAGGAGGUAGGCAGCCUGCACACUCUGUUCCAGCUAGAAAUUGUCUUAUUUUGAAUUGUUCGUUUUGUUCAUUUGUCUGUGGCUUUCAGUCCCCAUGAGAGGUCCACCUUAAGAACGUAAGGUCAAGGGAGAGGGCAGCAACCUGCAGGUUUCCUGGUGGCAGGGCAUCUGUGUGACAUAGACAAGGCCUCUCCCGCAGCACUGAGUGACAGAAGUGACAGUGACAAGCAGCUGUCAAGUGCCGUGGGAUUCCAUUAAGGAUGGUUUGUGAGCAUUUCCAGCCAAACGCAGCAUGGACCUGUUAUAUAUAUAUAAUUUUUUUUUACAUAUUCAGCUGAACCUAUUUAAAGGUGAAGGACCACCAUGGCAUAUCUUGCUCUACAAAAUAAAUUAACAUUUUUGGUGGAAAUACUGCCUAUUUCUACUUGUGGUGUUCCUUUUGUAUACACUUUAUUGUUCUUUGCACUCUGCUCUCCUUGUGAAAUAUUCUUCACUGUUUCCAUGUCUUUCUCUUCAUAUCUAUAAUUCUAUUUGAUACAAGAGGAAGGCCCUAGCAUGGUGAAAUAUUUCUUACUUCAUUCUUUUCCCAAACUGUUUGGGAACAGAAAGAUUUUUACACAUUCCACUGUUGCCUCUGGGUAUCCGUGUACAUACCUUUUGAAUGGCAUGACCAGUAUCAGAAAUCUGUAUGUUUGUGCAGAAACAGGAACAAAGACUUCUCCUAGUAAAUGGCACAUGAGCAGUUUGUGUGCUGGAUGUAUCCUUGGUAGAUACUCAAAGAGUGAACAAUUACAUUUAUUACAAUUUAUGGGAGAUCCCACUCCUGCAGAGAUAGGAAUAUGGUUCAGACUCGCUCUCCUGUAUCUGAGAUUCAUAGUGAAACAUGUUAAUCAGUGUAAUGCAGUACCUAUCAAGUCAGGCUAAUGCAUUGAUGUAUGGGAUAAUCUAAGUGAAUUUGAACUUGGGUUUCCAAUAUAGGCAGCUCACUCAAUCUGAGCCAACACUUGGGAACCAGGGUACCUCACCUGCCAAGCCUUCAGACCUACCUUUUCACUUACUAUUUAAAAAUAUAUCCUAACCUGGUUUUCAAAUCCCUGAUUUUUACCUGCAUACCUUUCCUAAAGGCAGGCCUAUUUUAGAGGUGUGAAUGAUGGUUGAUGGGAUGUGUUAUUGCCUGCAGCGUAGAAUGUCAUUGUGAAGAAUAAAGAAGAAAAAAAACCACUAUCUGCUCUCUUUUUAAUCAUUUACCCUAAAGGAAAAUGUACAGAAGGCAGACCGAGCUCACAUGUACCCACGAAGUAAAGCAGCUGCUGUAGAUAUGAGGUUGGAUGCUGAUGCCAGCAAACUUUCUAGUUCUAGCAGUGAACACCACUGGAUAGGGCAGGGUUGAUGAGGGACCCAGUGUUGCUCUAAGAUCCUUGUAUCAAACAGCCCCCUUAAAUUCAAUUCAUUGUUAGACUCAUCAGCCAACCUUUCCUGAAUGUCAGAAAUUUGGUCUACUCUUUAAAGGAAGAAUCUCCCAAGCAGUUUUGUGGUGUGUUGUGGUUUUUGUGAUGUUGAUUAAUGACCGAUACUGUGGAGGCGAUUCUUUACAUUAGAUUUAUGUUCCUCUGUGAUUUCUCAAUAGGAGCCCAAUCCCUUUCUGAGCUUGACACUGUAGGCCGACUCGCUGCUGUGGAGCCCUACUCCUCCCCUUAGCAAGGACCAGAGCCGGCUCAGCAGCUCAGGACGAGGCCUGCCCCCGCUCCACUUCCCCCCACAGCUGGUCCUCUUUGACGAGGCUUUGAGGGACAUCACCGUGGGGAUACCCAUCAUGACUGAGCAGGACUCAGCAGGGAACAUGGACACAGUUGCCCGACAUGGGGCCCAGCGGUUGGAGAUCAAGGCCAUGGAGCGCAGGGAAAUGGAAAAGCAGCUGAAGAUUGAGAACCUGUUUGUGAUGUUGCAGCAGAGAUCAGCUCAGUCCAACAUGCCCAUCACAGAGUCAUGCAAUAGCUUUCCAAGCAGCAGUGCUUUGUUGUUGUGUAGGCUGCUGACCUGGACACCCUGAAGCAGUCGUCACGCUUGGUCCAUUACUGUGCCACCCCCCUGCUGUUCGACCCUGUGUUCCGCAGACAAAUUCAGGAGGAGCUGACUGCCAACCUCCAAAGAUGCCAACUGCUACGACUUGGCCAUAGCAGCUACUAUUUUGGCGGUUCUGCUACGGCGCUACGUUGAAAGGGUAUAAUACUACGAUUUUAUUAAAUAAAUAAAUAAAUGUUGGAUAUUCCCUGAAUGUUUAUGAAAUAUUAUUUCAAUACCACGUGUGUGUUUUCUUGUUAAUUUUUUAUAAUGAAUUUCUUUGUUCUUAAUACUGUAUUUCACUGACAGUCUAUUGUGGCAUUGUAGCUGUACUAUUGUUAUUUUGAUAGUUAUUUUUUAUAAAGUUUUGAGUAUUUCAGUCCAGGUUUGAUCGCACUUAUGAGAUCAGUAAAACACUCGUCAUUACUAAUAUUUAAAUCCAGAAUAAAUAGAAUUCCAAAUAAAAAAAUCAGUGUUGAAGAAUUUUUUGUGUGUGUUUUUUUUUUAUGAAUGCCAUUUUGUUUACAAUUCCUAAAAUUAUAGAUUGAACAGCACAAAUUAGGUAAUUGGCUUGCCAGAGCCUAAGAACCUUCAAGAAGCUGCCUCAGAUUUACAGAGAGCACACAGAGCUGGGAAGCAAGCCUCCCAGGGAGUGUGCAGAGAGGGACGGGUCUAGGGAGGCAGAGCUGGACUUGUGGGUGGUGGGGGACAACUCAAGCGAGUUUUACUCAGGUGGGCCGCAAGUGAUGAUGACACCUGGACUGUUCUAUACCUCUCCUCUCUUCCCUCUUCUGGCCUCGGAGGUGACCUCUGCACGGAACCACAUCCUGAGAAAGCGGGCAGCAGGCGAGGGGACACUGGCGAAGGUUCUUCCGUGGGGAGCACCUGGCCUCGGACAAACUGAAACUGAGCAAGUGGACCUUCACUGAGUUGGAGGAGCUGCUGGACGCUGUGCAGAGCCGUUCUGUGGGCGAUAUCGACGCUCAACUGAGUUUUAAGGUGUUUUUCAGAGAGCCAUUGCCGGCCCAGCCUCAAACUAGCAACAUCCCAUUGCCACAGCUGGUCUCCAUGUACCACCAUCUGCAGUCGGUCAUCAAUACAGCCUGCUUCAAUCUCUGGACAGGGCUACUGUAGAGUCUGAUCUGUAAUAUAGAUUGCUUCAAUUUUUAGACAAUACUGCUAUGGAAACUGGUGCAACCUACUGUUGGGACGGGGUCCAUAAUACAGACCGAAUGCUGCUUAAUAAGGCUGUUCUAGAAGCACCAAUGCAAACUGCCUUAUAUAAACGUAAUCAUUUCCAUGCCAAUUGUAGCACAAGGCACUCACCAUGUUUCUCCUGACCAGGUUAUUCAGCACAAUAAACUGUGUUGUCUUCUGAUGCUGAAAGUUUCAUAUCUUUGUAGAGGUUUUCUGCCAGUUCUGAACAUUUAGAAUGCAGCUUUCAGCUCAGCUCUGUAUCCUUCAAGCCUCCACAUUGUACAGAGUAACUAGAACAUAGUUAACUAGGAUUGAGAGGGUUGACAGUCAAAUGGUUAACAUUCUUCGAUAAAGCUGAUGUUUCCUCUCAGCGAGAAUCACAACUGGAGUUAAAGAGUAAGUAGCGGGGUGCCAAAAAAAUAUAUAGCAUUAUACGUCCCAAUCUUCAUAUACAUUAAAAUUGGUUUCAUAGUAGGAUUCUAGACCUGUCGCCUUAAGCAACAAAAUCCAUUGAUAUGGAAGUAGUUUGGAAAAAUGGGAAGGAUUCCAAUAGUUCCGUUAAGAGCCUUUGAUUUUAAUAAUUUUUCAUACUGUUUAACACUUCAGCGCUUCGUUACCUAAUUUCCAGACCGCGAACAACUCUUCAUUCCAAAAGUGCCUGUGUUUAACAAUUCAAUUUGGAAGAGACAUUAUUAUUGUACUGACCUUGGAGUUGAAUCUUUGAAAACCCUAUUAAAUUGCUGAUUUGAUUCAGUCUGUGGCGUUGCUAACUCUGGUGUUCAGUAUUCAGGGGGGGUGUCAGAGACAGGGCCCACUCUCUAGAUGUGCCUUAGUUGCAAUUCUUGUCCUGCCACUGUAGUGUUCUUCCAUGACUGAUGCAGAACACACACCUACACCAUUUUGCAGUUUGUCAUAGUUGUUGUAAUCAAAAUUUCCCAUGACUCACACUAAUUCAUAAAGAAGGAAACAGGUUUUCCUAACAUGUGUUAAGACUACAAACUGUGAUAAAUAAUUGUUUUGACCAGAGUGUUUGAUUUAAUCAAAGCAUGGCACUGUUGAAGUAACAUAUGUUUUAUUUUUUUUUAAAUCAUCAUUAUUAUUUACUUUAAAGUUGUCAACACUGGGCAUGUAAAAAAGAAAACAUCUAUUUAUGUACUUAAAUGCAAAUUUAUUUGAAAAUAAACUUCUGAUUUGGGUGAUUUAAGAUAAAUGUGGCUGGACAUAUGUUUUACAUGUAUAUUAUGUAUAUAUAAAUAAAUACACUUUACA